UGUUCUGUGGCGUAGUUAGUUAACGUGUCCAGCCUAGCGAAACGGGAAGCCAUGGGUUCAAAUCCCACCAGAACAA
rfam:Aedes albopictus isolate Foshan contig167414, whole genome shotgun sequence.